rnacentral:rRNA from 1 species
AGUUAUUGGUCGCUUAGCUCAUCGACUCGGUCGUGACAUUUGGUAUCGAGCCGACCUAGCAUUUGGGCAGGGUGAGAGGGCUCGGUAGGAAAGGGCUACCCGUGGAUGGAGUCGAGAACUCAUCACGGCAUGGAGCCACCACUAAGUUAAACCUCACAUGCACCGUGCUUAGGGUUCGAUCCGAUAUGUCCGGCCUUGACGAGGACGCCAAGCUUAAUUGAGUUGGGGAUAAUGUAACAUCCCAUUAGUCCCACAUCGGAAGUGGGGAAUGUGUGUGAUUAGCUUAUAAGGGCCCGAUGAGUGUACCACGUUACCUCCUCGCUUAAGCAUUUUGGUCCGUGGUUGCAAGGACCAAAAUGGAGUUAUUGGCCGCUUAGCUCAUCGACUCUGGUCGCGACAAAGAAGCGCCAAGAAAUUACCCAAUCCCGACAAUGGGAGGUAGUGACAAUAAAUAACAAUACCGGGAUCUUCGAGUUUGGUAAUUGAAUGAGUACAAUCUAAAUCCCUUUAACGAGGAUCCAUUGAGGGCAAGUCCGGUGCCAAGCGUAAUUCCAAAUUCCAGCUCCAAUAGCGAUAUUUAAGUUGUUGCGCUUAAAAAAGCUCAGAGUUGGACUUUGGGGAUCGGUCGGUCGGUUCGCCCAUGGUGUGCAACUUGGUCGUCCCAUCCCUUCGUCGUCGGGCGAUGCGUGUCUGGCCUUAAUCGGUCGGGUCGUGGCCUCCAAAUCACAGUUACUUUGAAGAAAUUAGAGUGCUCAAAGCAAGCCCACGCCUCGAUACAUUAGCAUGGGAUAACAUCACAGAUUUCGGUCCUAUUGUGUUGGCCUUCGGAUCGGAGUAAUUAUUAAGAGGGACAGCUUGGGGCAUUCGUAUUUCAUAGUCGAGGGUGAAAUUCUUGGAUUUAUGAAAGACGAACCACCGCGAAAAGCAUUUGCCAAGGAUGUUUUCAUUAAUCAAGAACGAAAAGUUGGGGCUCAAGACGAUCGAUACCGCCCUAGUCUCAACCAUAAACGAUGCCACCGUGGAUCGCGGGAUGUUGCUUUAGGACUCCGCCGGCACCUUAUGAGAAAUCAAAGUCUUUGGGUUCCGGGGAGUAUGGUCGCAAGGUCGAAACUUAAAGGAAUUGACGGAAGGGCACCACCAGAGUGGAGCCUACGGCUUAAUUUGACUCAACACGGGAAAUUUACCAGUCCGCAUAAAGCAAGGAUUGACAGAUCGAGAGCUCUUUUUUGAUUCUAUGGGUGGUGGUGCAUGGCCGUCUUAGUUGGUGGAGUGAUUUGUCCGGUUAAUUCCGAUAACGAACGAGACCUCACCGCUAACUAGCUACGCGAGGCAUCCUCCGCCACCAGCUUUUAGAGGGACUAUGGCCGCUUAGGCCACGGAAGUUUGAGGCAAUAACAGUGUCUGUGAUGCCCUUAGAUGUUCUGGGCCGCACGCUGCUAAUCGAUGUAUUCAACGAAGUCUAUAGCCUUGGCCGACAGUGCCCGCAAUCUUUUGAAAAUUUCAUCUUGAUGGGGAUAGAUCAUUGCAAUUGUUGGUCUUCAACGAGGAAUUCCUAGUAAGCGCGAGUCAUCACCGCUGACUACAUCCCCGCCCUUUGUACACACCGCCGCCGCUUCCUACCGAUUGAAUGGUCCGGGUGAAGUGUUCGGAUCGAGGCGACGGGGCGGUUCGCCGCCUCGCGACGCCGCGAGAAGUCCACCGAACCUUAUCAUUUAGAGGAAGGAGAAGUCGAAUAAGGUUUCCGAGGGUGAACUCGCGAAGG